rfam:Stegodyphus mimosarum contig65670, whole genome shotgun sequence.
GUCUUUGUGGUGUAACGGUUAUCACACUCGGCGCGUAUUUGAGAGGUUCAGGUUCAAGUCCCGGCGAGGGCA